GACGAACGCUGGCGGCGUGCUUAACACAUGCAAGUCGAACGGUAAGGCCCUUCGGGGUACACGAGUGGCGAACGGGUGAGUAACACGUGGGUGAUCUGCCCUGCACUUCGGGAUAAGCCUGGGAAACUGGGUCUAAUACCGGAUAGGACUCCUGCCUGCAUGGGUGGGGGUGGAAAGCUUUUGCGGUGUGGGAUGGGCCCGCGGCCUAUCAGCUUGUUGGUGGGGUGAUGGCCUACCAAGGCGACGACGGGUAGCCGGCCUGAGGGGGUGACCGGCCCCACUGGGACUGAGAUACGGCCCAGACUCCUACGGGAGGCAGCAGUGGGGAAUAGUGCACAAUGGGCGCAAGCCUGAUGCAGCGACGCCGCGUGAGGGAUGACGGCCUUCGGGUUGUAAACCUCUUUCAGCACCGACGAAGCGCAAGUGACGGUAGGUGCAGAAGAAGGACCGGCCAACUACGUGCCAGCCGCCGCAGUAA
rnacentral:rRNA from 1 species